rnacentral:lncRNA from 1 species
GUUUUUUAUGCAGGUGGAUCGUAAACCAUGGUGUCUUUGUUUUAGAUGCUUUUCACAGGUUGGAAGUUGCCAGCUCAUUCACGGAAUUGCAAACUCGUGGCUCAUGGAUAUACAAUAUUUGCAUCUCUUGCUGGAGCUACAAGGCCACACACGGAACCACGCGUGCUUGAUGCUUUAUGCAGGCCUGCUCCGGCACAUGCUGAAGU